AGAGUUUGAUCAUGGCUCAGAGUGAACGCUGGCGGCGUGCUUAACACAUGCAAGUCGAGCGAGAUUUAACAGCGUAUCGUUAGGUCUAGCGGCAGACGGGUGAGUAAUACUUGGGCAAUCUACCCUUAAGUGGGGGACAACCUGCCGAAAGGCGGGCUAAUACCCCAUAAGACCACAGGAAUGCAUAUUCCAGGGGUCAAAGCUCCGCAAGGGGCGCUAAAGGAGGAGCCCGAGUCCUAUCAUGGUAGUUGGCGGGGUAAUGGCCCACCAAGCCGUUGACGGGUAGCCGGCCUGAAAGGGCAACCGGCCACACUGGCACUGAGACACGGGCCAGACUCCUACGGGAGGCAGCAGUGGGGAAUUUUGGACAAUGGGGGCAACCCUGAUCCAGCGACGCCGCGUGGAGGAUGAAGGUCUUCGGAUUGUAAACUCCUUUUAGAGGGGAUGAAUGCCCUGGUGAAUAGCCAGGGGUGACAGUACCCUUUGAAUAAGCCACGGCUAACUACGUGCCAGCAGCCGCGGUAAUACGUAGGUGGCAAGCGUUACUCGGAAUCACUAGGCGUAAAGCGCAGGUAGGAGGUUUGGUAAGUCUGUUGUGAAAGCUCCCGGCUUAACUGGGAGAGGUCAACGGAAACUACUAGGCUGGAGUGCGGUAGAGGUAGCUGGAAUUCCCGGUGUAGCGGUGAAAUGCGUAGAUAUCGGGAGGAAUACCUAUGGCGAAAGCAGGCUACUGGACCGUCACUGACUCUGAUCUGCGAAAGCUAGGGGAGCAAACAGGAUUAGAUACCCUAGUAGUCC
rnacentral:rRNA from 1 species